GACUUCGUGGCCAAGUUGGUUAAGGCGUGUGACUGUUAAUCACAAGAUCGCUGGUUCGACUCCAGCCGUUGUCG
rfam:Pachysolen tannophilus NRRL Y-2460 unplaced genomic scaffold PACTA_scaffold_2, whole genome shotgun sequence.